CCUACGGGAGGCAGCAGUGAGGAAUAUUGGUCAAUGGGCGGAAGCCUGAACCAGCCAAGUAGCGUGCAGGAUGACGGCCCUACGGGUUGUAAACUGCUUUUAUACGGGAAUAACGCGCCUUACGUGUAGGGCUUUGCAUGUACCGUAUGAAUAAGGACCGGCUAAUUCCGUGCCAGCAGCCGCGGUAAUACGGAAGGUCCGGGCGUUAUCCGGAUUUAAUGGGUUUAAAGGGAGCGUAGGCCGGAUGUCAAGCGUUGUGUGAAAUGUCCGGGCUUAACCCGGGCCUUGCAGCGCGAACUGGCGUGCUUGAGUCCGCGGAAAGCAGGCGGAAUUCGUCGUGUAGCGGUGAAAUGCUUAGAUAUGACGAAGAACCCCGAUUGCGAAGGCAGCUUGCUGCAGCGGAACUGACGCUGAUGCUCGAAAGCGCGGGUAUCGAACAGGAUUAGAUACCCUUGUAGUC
rnacentral:rRNA from 1 species